AUUAAAGCACCGAUUCCCGUACGAUCGCCGAAGUUAAGCAAAGUUGAACCGGGUCAGUAUCUAAAUUGAUGACCGCUUGGGAAUACAAGGUGCUGUAAG